CCUACGGGAGGCACCAGUGGGGAAUAUUGCACAAUGGGCGCAAGCCUGAUGCAGCCAUGCCGCGUGUAUGAAGAAGGCCUUCGGGUUGUAAAGUACUUUCAGCGGGGAGGAAGGUGUUGUGGUUAAUAACCACAGCAAUUGACGUUACCCGCAGAAGAAGCACCGACUAACUCCGUGCCAGCAGCCGCGGUAAUACGGAGGGUGCAAGCGUUAAUCGGAAUUACUGGGCGUAAAGCGCACGCAGGCGGUCUGUCAAGUCAGAUGUGAAAUCCCCGGGCUCAACCUGGGAACUGCAUCUGAUACUGGCAAGCUUGAGUCUCGUAGAGGGGGGUAGAAUUCCAGGUGUAGCGGUGAAAUGCGUAGAGAUCUGGAGGAAUACCGGUGGCGAAGGCGGCCCCCUGGACGAAGACUGACGCUCAGGUGCGAAAGCGUGGGGAGCAAACAGGAUUAGAUACCCGCGUAGUC
rnacentral:rRNA from 1 species